rnacentral:rRNA from 1 species
CGGUAGGUACUCGAGUGGCGAACGGGUGAGUAACACGUGGGUGAUCUGCCCUGCACUCUGGGAUAAGCCUGGGAAACUGGGUCUAAUACCGGAUAGGACCGCACUUUAGUGUGUGUGGUGGAAAGUUUUUUCGGUGUAGGAUGAGCCCGCGGCCUAUCAGCUUGUUGGUGGGGUAAUGGCCUACCAAGGCUGCGACGGGUAGCCGGACUGAGAGGUUGGUCGGCCACAUUGGGACUGAGAUACGGCCCAG